AGCGCACACGGUGGAUGCCUUGGCGGUCAGAGGCGAUGAAGGACGUGGCAGCCUGCGAAAAGUAUCGGGGAGCUGGCAACAAGCUUUGAUCCGGUAAUGUCCGAAUGGGGAAACCCACCCGCUUGCGGGUAUCCUGCAGUGAAUACAUAGCUGCUGGAAGCGAACCUGGUGAACUGAAAUAUCUAAGUAACCAGAGGAAAAGAAAUCAACCGAGAUUCCGUAAGUAGCGACGAGCGAACGCGGACUAGCCCUUAAGCUGGAUUGGUUCUAGGAAAACGCUCUGGAAAGAGCGGCCAUAGAAGGUGAUAGCCCUGUAUCUGAAAGGGCCAUUCCAGUGAAGACGAGUAGGGCGGGGCACGUGAAACCCUGUCUGAACAUGGGGGGACCAUCCUCCAAGGCUAAAUACUACUGACCGACCGAUAGUGAACCAGUACCGUGAGGGAAAGGCGAAAAGAACCCCGGAGAGGGGAGUGAAAUAGAACCUGAAACCGUGUGCGUACAAGCAGUAGGAGCUCCGCAAGGAGUGACUGCGUACCUUUUGUAUAAUGGGUCAGCGACUUACUGUUCGUGGCAAGCUUAACCGUAUAGGGGAGGCGAAGGGAAACCGAGUCUGAUAAGGGCGCAUAGUCGCGGGCAGUAGACCCGAAACCGGGUGAUCUAGUCAUGCCCAGGGUGAAGGUGCGGUAACACGCACUGGAGGCCCGAACCCACUCCCGUUGCAAAGGUAGGGGAUGAGGUGUGAUUAGGAGUGAAAAGCUAAUCGAACCCGGAGAUAGCUGGUUCUCCUCGAAAGCUAUUUAGGUAGCGCCUCAUAUGUAUCCUCUCGGGGGUAGAGCACUGUUAUGGCUAGGGGGUCAUCGCGACUUACCAAACCAUUGCAAACUCCGAAUACCGAGACGGACUGUAUGGGAGACACACGGCGGGUGCUAACGUCCGUCGUGAAAAGGGAAACAACCCAGACCCACAGCUAAGGUCCCAAAUUCACUGCUAAGUGGAAAACCAUGUGGAAAGGCACAGACAGCCAGGAGGUUGGCUUAGAAGCAGCCACCCUUUAAAGAAAGCGUAAUAGCUCACUGGUCGAGUCGGUCUGCGGGGAAGAUUUAACGGGGCUAAGCAGUGAACCGAAGCUUGGGGUGCAUACUUUGUAUGCGCGGUAGAGGAGCGUUCCGUAAGCCGUUGAAGGUGGAUUGAGAAGUCUGCUGGAGGUAUCGGAAGUGCGAAUGCUGACAUGAGUAACGAUAAUGCGGGUGAAAAACCCGCACGCCGAAAGCCCAAGGUUUCCUUGCGCAACGUUAAUCGGCGCAGGGUGAGUCGGCCCCUAAGGCGAGGACGAAAGUCGUAGUCGAUGGGAAGCAGGUUAAUAUUCCUGCACCUCGCGUAAGUGCGAUGGAGGGACGGAGAAGGUUAGGUGUACCAGGCGUUGGUUGUCCUGGGGAAAGGCGGUAGGUUUGGAUCUUUGGCAAAUCCGGGAUCCUUUAAGACCGAGCACCGAGACGAGCCUUUAUGGCGAAGUCACUGAUACCACGCUUCCAGGAAAAGCUCCUAAGCUUCAGCUUACGCAGACCGUACCGUAAACCGACACAGGUGGGUAGGAUGAGAAUUCUCAGGCGCUUGAGAGAACUCGGGUGAAGGAACUAGGCAACAUGGCACCGUAACUUCGGGAGAAGGUGCACCCUUUUUGGUGGCUCGUGCGAGCUAUAGCUGAAGAGGGUCGCAGUAACCAGGCCGCUGCGACUGUUUAUCAAAAACACAGCACUCUGCAAACACGAAAGUGGACGUAUAGGGUGUGACGCCUGCCCGGUGCUGGAAGGUUAAUUGAUGGGGUCAGCCGCAAGGCGAAGCUCUUGAUCGAAGCCCCAGUAAACGGCGGCCGUAACUAUAACGGUCCUAAGGUAGCGAAAUUCCUUGUCGGGUAAGUUCCGACCUGCACGAAUGGCGUAACGACAGCGGCGCUGUCUCCACCCGAGACUCAGUGAAAUUGAAAUCGCUGUGAAGAUGCAGCGUUCCCGUGGCAAGACGGAAAGACCCCGUGAACCUUUACUAUAGCUUUACACUGAACGUUGAGUUCGUCUGUGUAGGAUAGGUGGGAGGCUAUGAAACUGUGGCGCUAGCUGCAGCGGAGCCAUCCUUGAAAUACCACCCUGUCGUGCUUGACGUUCUAACCUGGGCCCAUUAUCUGGGUCGGGGACCGUGUAUGGUGGGUAGUUUGACUGGGGCGGUCUCCUCCUAAAGAGUAACGGAGGAGCUCGAAGGUACGCUCAGCGCGGUCGGACAUCGCGCACUGUGUGCAAAGGCAUAAGCGUGCUUGACUGCAAGAUCGACGGAUCAAGCAGGUAGGAAACUAGGACUUAGUGAUCCGGUGGUUCUGUAUGGAAGGGCCAUCGCUCAACGGAUAAAAGGUACUCCGGGGAUAACAGGCUGAUACCGCCCAAGAGUUCAUAUCGACGGCGGUGUUUGGCACCUCGAUGUCGGCUCAUCACAUCCUGGGGCUGUAGUCGGUCCCAAGGGUAUGGCUGUUCGCCAUUUAAAGUGGUACGCGAGCUGGGUUCAGAACGUCGUGAGACAGUUCGGUCCCUAUCUGCCAUGGGCGUUGGAGAUUUGAGAGGGGCUGCUCCUAGUACGAGAGGACCGGAGUGGACGAACCUCUGGUGUUCCGGUUGUCACGCCAGUGGCAUUGCCGGGUAGCUAUGUUCGGAAGCGAUAACCGCUGAAAGCAUCUAAGCGGGAAGCGCGCCUCAAGAUGAGAUCUCCCGGGGCACAAGCCCCCUGAAGGAACCAUGUAGACUACGUGGUUGAUAGGUCAGGUGUGUAAGUACAGCAAUGUAUUGAGCUAACUGAUACUAAUGAUCCGUGCGGCUUGACC
rnacentral:rRNA from 1 species